GAUGAACGCUGGCGGCGUGCCUAAUACAUGCAAGUCGAGCGAACAGACGAGGAGCUUGCUCCUCUGACGUUAGCGGCGGACGGGUGAGUAACACGUGGAUAACCUACCUAUAAGACUGGGAUAACUUCAGGAAACCGGAGCUAAUACCGGAUAAUAUCUUGAACCGCAUGGUUCAAUAGUGAAAGACGGUUUUGCUGUCACUUAUAGAUGGAUCCGCGCCGCAUUAGCUAGUUGGUAAGGUAACGGCUUACCAAGGCAACGAUGCGUAGCCGACCUGAGAGAGUGGUAGGCGGCAUGGGAACUGGGACAGGGUCAAGAGUCCUACGGGAGGCAGCAGUAGGGAAUCUUACGCAAUGGGCGGAAGCCUGACGGAGCAACCCCGCGUGAGUGAUGAAGGUCUUCGGAUCGUAAAGCUCUGUUAUUAGGGAAGAACAAAUGUGUAAGUAACUAUGCACGGCUUGACGGUACCUAAUCAGAAAGCCACGGCUAACUACGUG
rnacentral:rRNA from 1 species